rnacentral:rRNA from 1 species
AGCUCCAAUAGCGUAUAUUAAAGUUGUUGCAGUUAAAAAGCUCGUAGUUGAACUUUGGGCCUGGGUGGCCGGUCCGAUUUUUUCGUGUACUGGAAUGCACCCGGGCCUUUCCUUCUGGCUAACCCCAAGUCCUUGUGGCUUGGUGGCGAACCAGGACUUUUACUUUGAAAAAAUUAGAGUGUUCAAAGCAGGCGUAUUGCUCGAAUAUAUUAGCAUGGAAUAAUGGAAUAGGACGUUUGGUUCUAUUUUGUUGGUUUCUAGGACCAUCGUAAUGAUUAAUAGGGACGGUCGGGGGCAUCAGUAUUCAAUUGUCAGAGGUGAAAUUCUUGGAUUUAUUGAAGACUAACUACUGCGAAAGCAUUUGCCAAGGACGUUUUCA